CACAAGCAAGCACCUUCAAAAGGACCAAAUCAGAAACUCUCACAAAAGUGCCUUCAUUUGAUGAGAAGAAUGAACAGGAGCAUUGUCAUAGUGGAGAAAGACUCCCUGGUGUGCGUCAUAUUUUCUCACAUUCUCUUGAGGUAUUUUGAUGUGUUCCUCAAAUCUUUUUGAGCUGUACUAGAAACUCCAUGAGGGUAAGGAAGUAAAUUAUUUUGUUUAUUACUUCAUCCUCAUCCUCCUGCAUAGCAGCUAAACAUGGUUGACACUCA